AUGUAUGCAGGUCAGCAUCAAGGCUAUGAAGCGAAAGAUCAGACAAAGGUUUUCGCCAUGUUUGUCCUUCAGCUUAGUAACUUGCAUGUUGAUAUGGCACUUGUGAAAACUGAAGAUUUGGUACGGAGUCGUAAAACGUGUAAUAUUCUCGGUAAUGCAGAAAAACAAAGAUUGCAUUGCCCUCAACCUUUGUAUGUGACAUAUCGUGCCUAUAUCACUACUUGCAUCAUGUCAAUGCAUUCUGUGUUAACAAUUCAUUUUGUUAUUUUCUUUGUAGAUUCAAAAGAUAUAUGGCUGAUUAUAUGGUUGCGUGGCAAGAAUACUGCAAUGAUGAUGAUGGUGUUCUACUGUUCUGGUUCAUGA
rnacentral:rRNA from 1 species